AUGAAGAGUGUGCUCAGCUGGGUUUUCCUGGUGGCUGUUUUCAAAGGUGUCCAGUGUGAGGUGCAGCUGGUGGAGACUGGGGGAGGCCUGGUGCAGCCUGGGGGUUCCCUUCGACUCUCCUGUGUAGCCUCUGGAUUCACCUUCAGUGACUACAACAUGGACUGGGUGCGCCAGGCUCCAGGGAAGGGGCUGGAGUGGGUUGGUCUUAUAAAAAACAAAGCUAAUAGUUAUAGCACAGUAUACGCUGCAUCUGUAAAAGACCGAUUCACCAUCUCCAGAGAUGACGCCAAGAACACACUGUACCUGCAAAUGAGCAGCCUGAGAACCGAGGACUCGGCCACCUAUUACUGUGCUAGAAACACA